GACGGAGGGUGCUAGCGUUGUUCGGAAUGACUGGGCGUAAAGGGCGCGUAGGCGGCUCGUGAAGUCGGGUGUGAAAGCCCGGGGCUCAACCCCGGAACGGCAUCCGAUACUGGCGGGCUUGAGACCGGGAGAGGAGGGUGGAAUACCCAGUGUAGAGGUGAAAUUCGUAGAUAUUCGGAAGAACACCAGUGGCGAAGGCGGCCCGCUGGACAUGUAUUGACGCUGAGGUGCGAAAGCGUGGGGAGCAAACAGG
rnacentral:rRNA from 1 species